rnacentral:rRNA from 1 species
AGUGAACGCUGGCGGUAGGCCUAACACAUGCAAGUCGAACGGCAGCACAGUAAGAGCUUGCUCUUACGGGUGGCGAGUGGCGGACGGGUGAGGAAUACAUCGGAAUCUACUUUUUCGUGGGGGAUAACGUAGGUAAACUUACGCUAAUACCGCAUACGACCUACGGGUGAAAGCAGGGGAUCUUCGGACCUUGCGCGAUUGAAUGAGCCGAUGUCGGAUUAGCUAGUUGGCGGGGUAAAGGCCCACCAAGGCGACGAUCCGUAGCUGGUCUGAGAGGAUGAUCAGCCACACUGGAACUGAGACACGGUCCAGACUCCUACGGGAGGCAGCAGUGGGGAAUAUUGGACAAUGGGCGCAAGCCUGCUCCAGCCAUACCGCGUGGGUGAAGAAGGCCUUCGGGUUGUAAAGCCCUUUUGUUGGGAAAGAAAAGCAGCAGGUUAAUACCCCGCUGUUCUGACGGUACCCAAAGAAUAAGCACCGGCUAACUUCGUG